rnacentral:rRNA from 1 species
GUUUGAUCCUGGCUCAGGACGAACGCUGGCGGCGUGCUUAACACAUGCAAGUCGAACGGAAAGGCCCUGCUUUUGUGGGGUGCUCGAGUGGCGAACGGGUGAGUAACACGUGGGCAACCUGCCCAAAAGAGGGGGAUAACACUUGGAAACAGGUGCUAAUACCGCAUAACCAUAGUUACCGCAUGGUAACUAUGUAAAAGGUGGCUAUGCUACCGCUUUUGGAUGGGCCCGCGGCGCAUUAGCUAGUUGGUGAGGUAAAGGCUUACCAAGGCAAUGAUGCGUAGCCGAACUGAGAGGUUGAUCGGCCACAUUGGGACUGAGACACGGCCCAGACUCCUACGGGAGGCAGCAGUGGGGAAUCUUCCGCAAUGGACGAAAGUCUGACGGAGCAACGCCGCGUGAACGAUGACGGCCUUCGGGUUGUAAAGUUCUGUUAUACGGGACGAAUGGUACGACGGUCAAUACCCGUCGUAAGUGACGGUACCGUAAGAGAAAGCCACGGCUAACUACGUGCCAGCAGCCGCGGUAAUACGGAAGGUCCAGGCGUUAUCCGGAUUUAUUGGGUUUAAAGGGAGCGCAGGCGGACUCUUAAGUCAGUUGUGAAAUACGGCGGCUCAACCGUCGGACUGCAGUUGAUACUGGGAGUCUUGAGUGCACACAGGGAUGCUGGAAUUCAUGGUGUAGCGGUGAAAUGCUCAGAUAUCAUGAAGAACUCCGAUCGCGAAGGCAGGUAUCCGGGGUGCAACUGACGCUGAGGCUCGAAAGUGCGGGUAUCAAACAGGAUUAGAUACCCUGGUAGUCCGCACAGUAAACGAUGAAUACUCGCGGUUGGCGAUACACAGUCAGCCGCCAAGCGAAAGCGUUAAGUAUUCCA